UACGGGGGGAGCAAGCGUUGUUCGGAUUUACUGGGCGUAAAGGGCGCGUAGGCGGGCAAGCAAGUCCGGGGUGAAAGCCCCCAGCUCAACUGGGGAAGUGCCUUGGAAACUGCUUGUCUCGAGGGAGGUAGGGGCCUGUGGAACUUCGGGUGGAGCGGUGAAAUGCGUUGAUAUCCGAAGGAACGCCGGUGGCGAAAGCGACGGGCUGGACCUCUUCUGACGCUGAGGCGCGAAAGCUAGGGGAGCAAACGGG
rnacentral:rRNA from 1 species